AUUGAACGCUGGCGGAAUGCUUUACACAUGCAAGUCGAACGGUAGAGGGGGCAACCCCUCGAGAGUGGCGAACGGGUGAGUAAUAUAUCGGAACGUGCCCAGUCGUGGGGGAUAACGUAGCGAAAGUUACGCUAAUACCGCAUACGAUCUACGGAUGAAAGCGGGGGAUCGCAAGACCUGGCGCGAUUGGAGCGGCCGAUAUCAGAUUAGGUAGUUGGUGGGGUAAAGGCUUACCAAGCCAACGAUCUGUAGCUGGUCUGAGAGGACGACCAGCCACACUGGAACUGAGACACGGUCCAGACUCCUACGGGAGGCAGCAGUGGGGAAUUUUGGACAAUGGACGCAAGUCUGAUCCAGCCAUUCCGCGUGCAGGAUGAAGGCCCUCGGGUUGUAAACUGCUUUUGUACGGAACGAAAAGGUUUCCAUUAAUACUGGGAGCUCAUGACGGUACCGUAAGAAUAAGCACCGGCUAACUACGUGCCAGCAGCCGCAGUAA
rnacentral:rRNA from 1 species